GGUUGCUUGGAGGCUGGCCGACCUGUUGCCACUCACAGGGCUGUAGGCAUUGGAGGUAGGAUUUGCAGUUCAAUCUUCUGACCCUGAUUCUCCUAUUUGUACUACUCUAGAGCUUUGCAUUAACUUCCUUGGAGGCCAGGAAGCUGAGUUUUCAUUCUUGGGGGUGCCUCGAGUACAGCUGAGCAUGCUCAUUCAUCCAGUGGAUGUGUCAAUGAAUGCCCUUCGUGGCUGUGCUGGGAGACAGGCAUAGAGCUGUGGGCCAGGUAGACACGGUCCUGCCCUUUGGAGCCCAGGUCCUGGUGGGAUCCCAGACCAGGAACUAGGCAAUGACCACAUCAAGGGAUGGAGGUGGGAGGGGGCUCUGCGACCCUGAGGAAGGGGCUUUUCAAGGAGGGCUUAUGCCUCUCAUGCCCGGUGUCAAGGCUAGCGAGAGGGACGACUCAGGCAGUGGGACCUGGGUGGAGGGGUGGGGUGUGAAGGUCAGAGAGAUCCCCUGGCAUUCUGGAGUGCUCACUGAUGCAGCCUUUGGGUCCGGACAGGCUCGAGCUGGGAUCCUAUCUGCUUGAUUCAAAUGCCCUGUGUCCUCAGGAAAGCUCUCUCACCUCUCUGCGUCGGUUUUCUCCUCUGUGAAUGGGCUUCAUGAUUCCUCCCUCCCAGGACCAAAUGAGGGAAGGGUAAGAUACACCACGGCCGGAGCCUGGUGUGUGGGAAGACCCGCAGAGCCACAGCUCUCGCUCCCGUUGUCACACCGCUGCUGUUGCUGUAACUGGGUCCUCAACAGGCCCCACUGGCGGGCCUCAGCCCCUCCUGCUUCCUCCUUCGACUCCCUUCCCCACACCACGGAGCGCUCCCUGAGCACAGAGACGCUGCUCUGUGCCUGCUGCGGCCUUGGGCCCAGUGGGGGCCAGGCGAAGAGUAAGGUGAGGGUGCAGGUCUUGACAAGACUUCUAGGGUCAGGCCUUACGCUUUCUGGGCCCAGCACAAAGUAGGCCUGAGCUUGAGGUGUGUUGCUUAAAAGAAUAUAUGAAACAAAUGAAAUAUAUAUCUUUAAAAACUUGCAAGGGAGCUCUCUGACCCUGUGGUAAAGUGGUGGUUCAGACUCUAGAACACACUGGAUGUCAUCAGCCCCCAGUGAUCUCUGCCUUCCAAUAUUUACCCGCUUUUGUCCCCCCCGUUCAAUCCGGGCUGGCCCUGGAACUCGCUUUAACCGAUAACAUAAGGCGGAGGGGAUGUGCCAUUUUCAGACCUAAGUCUUAAACAAAAGGGAGUUACUGAAUUCUGGGUCUUCCCUGGGGCUUGAUGGUUCUUGGUUAAGGCAGGACGGAUUAGCAGAUAUUAGGUGUUAAAUAAAGAUCUGUUAUCCCCAAGGAGAGACUUUCUCCUUGACUUAAUCAGAAGGAUGAGUGGGAAUCGAAAAGGGAAUGAUUCUCCCUAUUGGGUAAGAUCCAGAAAAGAAUGGCUUUCUCUCACUGUGAUUCACUGGCCCGGCCCUGACCUGAGCACUGCCCUUUGAGAAACCCAUGGUUUCCUGGCCAUUCUGUCCGGCCGUGGAGUGAUGCAUGCCUUCAGUAGUGGCUCCCCUUUGUGUCCUGGACUCCUAGGGCCCUGAGACGGACAGAGUGUGUCCCCCGUCUGACCUCUCCAUCUGGAACACCAUGCCUUCUGCAGGACUCAUGAUCAAGUGGCAGAGAACAGUAUUUAUGGCUUAGUGCCAGAUGGAGCUGGAAUGUCCUGUAGCGGAACGGAGUGGUUUCAGAGUGGGUGUCAGCUCUGUUCUCAUAAACCGGCAGCUGAGUAGCUGAUAAUGGCCAGCCCAGCACGUUUCAGGAACCUGACCAGCCCUGGUCCACGUUGACAUAGCUAUUUUGCUUUUACAGAAUCCCACAGGCUGAGAAGCUUAUAAACAGCAGAAAUAUGAUGCUCACGGAUCUGGAGGCUGCAAGUCCAAGAUCAGAGCGCCAACAUGGUUGGGGGUGAGGGCUCUUUUCUGGGUCACAGACUUCUCACUGUGUCUUCGCAUGGUGGGAGGGGCUGGAGGUCUCUCUGGAGUCUCUUUUAUAAGGUCACUAAUCUGACUCAUGAUUACUUCCCAAAAGCAACACCCUCAUGACCUAAUUACUUCCCAAAGGCCCCACCUCCAGAUACCAUCAUCUUUGGGGGUUAGGAUUUCAACAUAUGAAUUCUGGGGGUAACAUAGCACUCAGACCACAACAGUAUGUAAAGUGUGAGUAUAGCUCACUGACAGUGCUCUGUACACGUUAGCUAUUGUUAGUUUAGCUGUGUAGUUUGCUCUUGGCCAAAUCCAUGUUCCUCCUAGGCAAAUUUUCAUAUUAGCCAUCAGCCUCCCAAAUUUCUGCAUUCUGUGCAUUUGCUACUUCUACGAGGAGAAAGCAGACAUCCCUUUGGAAACUUCCAGAUGGGUUCUCACCAUCAUCAGAUCUGUAAGAUGGUUGGGCAGAGAGACUCGCAGACCCAUCAAGGACAGUAAAAGCCCCAAGAACCAACAAGCAGCUAGGCAAGUUGAGAAGAAUCCACAUUUGGGCCCAGGUGGCAGUUUUGAUAAGAAGUUAAGGAUGUACAGUGAAGAAAACACAGUUGGCUUUGGUUUAUGUCAUCUUACAAUUUCUCUGCUUUGGGAUUUCCUUCCUUUUCCCCUUUCUCUCACUUGAAGAGAACUAAAUUCUUAUAAUAAGCUCAAAAUGAGCUGGACAGUGCCUAUCCUGUCAUGUGCUGAGAGACGUCAUUUCCUAUACCAUCCUGUGGGCACAUCCUACGGCUCCGAAGCAUUGGACUAGCAGCUCAUCCCUUUGAAAGCCGACACGCAGGUUGUUUGCCAGUAGCUCCCCUUGGACCAGUCACAGCUCCAGCAAGAGCUGCAGCUCCUUGUCCCAGAAGCCAAGGUCAGUUCCAAUGACCGUUGAAAAUGGGACUCCUCAUCUCCAAAUUCCCGAAAGGCGGAACUGCCAGGCCAGUAGCCGUCUGCCAGUGAUGCUUUUUGCUGAGCCCAGAGAAAAAGCGUUUCAGGCGUGCAGAACACACCGGGAGAAUGGCCUGGUGCAGAGAGAAGCCACCGCUCCUGGUGGCCGCUGACCACACCUGGCUGCUGCCCAGCUCCGAGAGAGCAGGUGGGAGGACGCCCUGGUGGCAGGAACUUGCUGUGUCCACUCCUUCUGAGGCUGGGCUGACCCCACGGUAGCUCUCUGUUCGCUGCAUCUAAUCCAUCCUCACUCAGGUGUUUCCCACUCAGCCUUUGCUUCCCCUCACUCAGUGCAGCAACCCAGUUAAAAAAAAAAAGUGAUUCUUGGUGAAGGCAGCUGAAAAUAACAGCAGCCACCUUCUAGAUCAUAGACUCUGGGGCCCGGGGGCGAGGAGAAGGGGGAGAACUGUAGCUAUGACACUGGCUGUGGCAUCGCCAGUGCCUGACACAGUGGGUGAGGCACGGGAAGCCCUCAGCUCUGACUUGUGAAUGGAUGAGACAGAAUGACGGGUGUGUGGCGGAACUGAGGGCAGCUUCUAGAGUAAACAGGCAAAGAGGGAGGAGUGCGGAGCCUUCAUUUUUAGUAAGGAUAUGACCAGAAUAGAAGAAAUCCAAAAUGGAACAGAGAGCUACACUGAGUAUAUUUUCUGAUGGGAUCAAAAAUAUCAGCUUCCCCUGAAGGAAACCAGAAUCAUUUUUAGUUCCAACCGAAUUCUCUCCUGGAGGCUCAGCCCAGAAACAUAUUGCAUAAUGGAGUUUUCCAAGAAGAAUCUCCUGCCUUCUUGAAUGUAGCUCACAAUGGUCCCCAGACCAUACUCCCCAAGGGGGCAGGUGCUCAGCCCUGCCUAGUAUGGAGUACAGGGUGAUAGAGAGGAGGGAGUCACGCGCCAGGAGGUAAGGCUUCGGUAGGGUUCUCAGUGCCAGCUGGAGCCACGGCUAAUUGUUACGGGAAGUUGUUUUGGAAAGCACCCAAGUUCCCUGUCUGUUCCAGGCUCCCCACGCCUGAGAUGAGAGUCUGUGCCGGCUGCUGUCCCUGGGAACACACCCGCUGAGGACAUGGCCCAGCUUCUAGCAGGAGGCCCCCUAGAACAGCCUUCCAUGUCGGGUGGGCAUGUAGGCAGCCCCCGGGGGCUCGGGGGGCCUCCAAGUGAAGGGGUCGAAGCAUCUCAACCACCCCUGGGUCUGGCCUUCUUGUGUUCUACCAGGCGCUGGCUGG